rnacentral:rRNA from 1 species
GAGAGUUUGAUCCUGGCUCAGGAUGAACGCUAGCUACAGGCUUAACACAUGCAAGUCGAGGGGCAGCAUGGUCUUAGCUUGCUAAAGCCGAUGGCGACCGGCGCACGGGUGAGUAACGCGUAUCCAACCUGCCUUACACUCUUGGACAGCCUUCUGAAAGGGAGAUUAAUACAAGAUGUUAUCAUGAGUAAGCAUUUUCGCAUGAUUAAAGGUUUACCGGUGUAAGAUGGGGAUGCGUUCCAUUAGAUAGUAGGCGGGGUAACGGCCCACCUAGUCUUCGAUGGAUAGGGGUUCUGAGAGGAAGGUCCCCCACAUUGGAACUGAGACACGGUCCAAACUCCUACGGGAGGCAGCAGUGAGGAAUAUUGGUCAAUGGACGAGAGUCUGAACCAGCCAAGUAGCGUGAAGGAUGAAGGUUCUAUGGAUUGUAAACUUCUUUUAUACGGGAAUAAACGAAUCCACGCGUGGAUUUUUGCAUGUACCGUAUGAAUAAGGAUCGGCUAACUCCGUGCCAGCAGCCGCGGUAAUACGGAGGAUCCGAGCGUUAUCCGGAUUUAUUGGGUUUAAAGGGAGCGUAGAUGGGUUGUUAAGUCAGUUGUGAAAGUUUGCGGCUCAACCGUAAAAUUGCAAUUGAUACUGGCAGUCUUGAGUACAGUUGAGGUAGGCGGAAUUCGUGGUGUAGCGGUGAAAUGCUUAGAUAUCACGAAGAACUCCGAUUGCGAAGGCAGCUUACUAACCUGUAACUGACAUUGAUGCUCGAAAGUGUGGGUAUCAAACAGGAUUAGAUACCCUGGUAGUCCACACGGUAAACGAUGAAUACUCGCUGUAGGCGAUAUACAGUCUGCGGCCAAGCGAAAGCAUUAAGUAUUCCACCUGGGGAGUACGCCGGCAACGGUGAAACUCAAAGGAAUUGACGGGGGCCCGCACAAGCGGAGGAACAUGUGGUUUAAUUCGAUGAUACGCGAGGAACCUUACCCGGGCUUAAAUUGCAACCGAAUAUGGCGGAAACGCUAUAGCUAGCAAUAGCGGUUGUGAAGGUGCUGCAUGGUUGUCGUCAGCUCGUGCCGUGAGGUGUCGGCUUAAGUGCCAUAACGAGCGCAACCCUUGCCGAUAGUUACUAACAGGUCAUGCUGAGGACUCUGUCGGGACUGCCAUCGUAAGAUGUGAGGAAGGUGGGGAUGACGUCAAAUCAGCACGGCCCUUACGUCCGGGGCUACACACGUGUUACAAUGGGGGGUACAGAGGGCUGCUACCACGCAAGUGGAUGCCAAUCCCAAAAACCUCUCUCAGUUCGGAUUGAAGUCUGCAACCCGACUUCAUGAAGCUGGAUUCGCUAGUAAUCGCGCAUCAGCCACGGCGCGGUGAAUACGUUCCCGGGCCUUGUACACACCGCCCGUCAAGCCAUGGGAGCCGGGGGUACCCGAAGUGCGUAACCGCAAGGAGCGCCCUAGGGUAAAACUGGUGACUGGGGCUAAGUCGUAACAAGGUAGCCG